rnacentral:rRNA from 1 species
AUUGAACGCUGGCGGCAUGCCUUACACAUGCAAGUCGAACGGUAACAGGUCUUCGGAUGCUGACGAGUGGCGAACGGGUGAGUAAUACAUCGGAACGUGCCUAGUAGUGGGGGAUAACUACUCGAAAGAGUGGCUAAUACCGCAUGAGAUCUACGGAUGAAAGCAGGGGAUCGCAAGACCUUGUGCUACUAGAGCGGCCGAUGGCAGAUUAGGUAGUUGGUGGGAUAAAAGCUUACCAAGCCGACGAUCUGUAGCUGGUCUGAGAGGACGAUCAGCCACACUGGGACUGAGACACGGCCCAGACUCCUACGGGAGGCAGCAGUGGGGAAUUUUGGACAAUGGGCGCAAGCCUGAUCCAGCAAUGCCGCGUGCAGGAUGAAGGCCUUCGGGUUGUAAACUGCUUUUGUACGGAACGAAAAGCCCCGGGUUAAUACCCUGGGGUCAUGACGGUACCGUAGGAAUAAGCACCGGCUAACUACGUGCCAGCCGCCGCAGUAA